rnacentral:ncRNA from 1 species
CAAAGGUUUGGUCCUAGCCUUAAAAUCAAUUAUUACUUAACAUACACAUGCAAGUCUCCGCACCCCUGUGAAAACGCCCUUAAUUUUCCCCUAGAAACAAGGAGCCGGUAUCAGGCACGAAAAUCUGCCCAAAACACCUAGCCAUGCCACACCCACAAGGGAACUCAGCAGUGAUAAACAUUGAACAUAAGCGACAGCUUGAUUCAGUUAAAGUAAAAAGAGCCGGCAAAUCUGGUGCCAGCCGCCGCGGUUACACCACGUGACUCAAAUUGAUAUUCUACCGGCGUAAAGCGUGAUUAAAGUCAUUCUCACAAAUUAGAGUUAAACCUUUAUUAAGCUGUGACACGCUUGUAUAUAGAAAAAUCAAAAACGUAAGUUACCCUAAUUCUUAACUUGAACUCACGACAGCUAGGAAACAAACUGGGAUUAGAUACCCCACUAUGCCUAGCCGUAAACUUUUAAUUACACCUAUCAUCGCCUGGGAACUACAAGCCAAGCUUAAAACCCAAAGGACUUGACGGUACCCCACAUCCACCUAGAGGAGCCUGUCCUAUAAUCGAUAACCCCCGUUUAACCUCACCAUUUUUAGUUAAUCAGCUUGUAUACCUCCGUCGUCAGCUUACCACGUGAGCGACAUAUAAGUGAGCUUAAUGCCCAUUCGCCAACACGUCAGGUCAAGGUGCAGCAAAUAAAAUGGGAAGAGAUGCGCUACAUUUUCUAGUAUAGAAAAUACGAAAGAUUACCUAUGAAACUCUAAUCAGAAGGCGGAUUUAGUAGUAAAAAGAGAUCAGAAAACUCUUUUUAACCCAGCACUGGGGUGUGUACACACCGCCCGUCACCCUCUUCAAAGCCAUUAAACAGUCAUUAACCCCCCCCCGCUGUACAGAAGAGGUAAGUCGUAACAUGGUAAGUAUACCGGAAGGUGUGCUUGGAAA